GAAGAGAGAUUUGUUGCUAGCAACAAGUACUUAGAACGUGUGUGAUUUGGCAUGUCUCGAACUGUGAAGUAGAUGCAAUGCAGGCAAAAAAUUGAUGAUGCUACGGGGAGGGGCUGUGUAGGGUGUUAAUCGCCAUCUGCAGUGCCUGGAGGUGGGGUGGGGAGAAGUGAAGAAUCUCUUCCUUUUUAAUAGAUUUUCAAGAUGGGAAAAUCAUAUUGCAACCCACAGGCAUUUGGAAACAAUUUGUGCUGAAGACAGAAAGUACACCUAACGUUAAGCUGAAAACACUGGACGCUCCCAGCAAACUCACUUUGCAGAUUCCUGGAUGUCAGAAGAAAAUGCCAGAGGAUUUCACUUGGCAUUGACCCCUUACUACUUCCAGCCACUUACCCUGGACAGUAGACAGAAGGAACAGAAAGCAGAGUAGCUUAAGAGGAGGCUUUGUUACAGGGUCAACUUCUCGGUGCAUGGCUCCUUCCAGUCUGAUAAGAACCAUCGCUCAGCCUUCAGACGAACAGAGCAUGGGAAAAGUUGAGGAUCAGAGACGUGAAGAGAUUUAGCUCAGAUGGAAUGACUGGGAAGUAGGGAAGAAAACAGAAAAGCGCACUGGUGCCCUCCUGCAAAUGCAGCAUCUGUCCCACCUCCAUGCAGUCAAGCAAAGCAGAGGGAAUGUGAACCAAAAACUUUAAGAUGAGGUGAGGGGAAGACCCCAAAGGACCACUGACUGACACUAACUCUGGGACCAAUGGCAGGGCCCACAGCAUUGACAAAUCAAUGGUGACUGCUCACAGCCUUUGGUACUUGUGUACCACGGAUUGCAUCAGUGGAGUUUCUCUUACAGAUAAAUGUACCUACUCUGUGUAUGACUGACCCAAAGCAAUGCCUUGCCAGCCCAGAGCUGCCAUAGCAAAAUACCACACACAGAGUGUCUUAAACAACAGAGUUUUAUUCUCUCACACUCUUGGAGGCGAGAAGUCCAAGAUCAAGGUGGCAAUUUCAUUCCUGGUGAGGGCUCUCUUCCUGGUUUGCAGACAGCUGGCUUCUGGCUGUGUCCUCACAUGGCCUUUCCUCUGAGUGUGCAUGAAAAGAGACAGGGGGAGACAUCCCUGGUGUCUCCUCCUGUCUUUACGAGGCUACCAGUCCAAUUGGAUUAGGGGUCCACCCUUGUGAUCCCACUUAACCUUAAUUACCUCCUAAAAGCCUAUCUCCAAAUAUAGUCAUAUUGAGGGGUUAAGACUUUAACGUACGAAUUUGGUGGGGACACAGUUCAGUCCACAGCAAGUCCAGACAAUAUAUAGCUGACUCACUUAGUGUUUGGACCAUUCCCCUUACAAGCCCUUUAUUAUUUUCAUGUACCCAGAUCCAGCUGUGCUCAAGCAGCAGCUGUAUCUCUUUAUCAGAGAGCUGCCCUCAGUCCAGAAACUAUUUUGAUAGUGCAAUAAUGAAGAUUGACUUCCUUCUAGAAAUGACAGUCUUUAACUGGUGAAUGACAGGUGAGAGGGAGGUGUAAAUACUCCAGCUUCCUUGGUCCCUGGCCAGGACAGCAGUGACAGUACACAGGAAGAUCUGGAGAGACGGUAAGUCACAUCUCAGCAUUUCCUUUCCUGAGGCUUUGCUCAGUGUUGCACCUUGUCCCGGCGUCCUCCUUUCCUUGUGGGGCCCACUUCUCACCAGUUUUUCCUGGCAAUAUUCCUUAAGUGAAUCACUCAGUGUCUGCUUCUGGGGAGUCCAACCUCAGACAACACAAGACCCAAGUGGGAAUAUUAGUUCCAACACCCAGAAUCAACCCAGCAUCCCCUCAGCUUAGAAGAUUUCUCAACAUUUUGAGGUUCAGGCUUUGUAGGUCAUUUCAUAAAGAUUCUCAGAGUGAAAUAAUCUAUAAUCCUGUUACACAAGCAUAAUAGGCAACUGUUUUCCCACUCUACAGGGUCUUCUAGAAGAUCCCAGCUCAAAGUCAGUACCAAGGCCCCAAGGGAAAUUCUGCUUCCUCAGUCUUAAUUUGGAACAACCCAGGCCUUGGCCAAAACUUGCAACCAAGACACUCACAAAUCAGAUCGUGUUCCCCUCUCCCUGUAGCCGAGCAAAUAUCAAAGUCAACUGGGGCUUUGUAUAGCAUUCACCAACUUUGGAAAACUUUUCAAAAAUUGUUUUAGUUUCUUUUUUAUUGUCUCCUCAGAGUCUGGUAAUUCUGGAAAAAGGCCUGUAGAUUGCCACUUGGGGAGUCCAGCAGAAAACUAAUCCUGCAACUCCAGAAAGCUGGACAGUGAUCCCGCUUUUUCCUUUACUGGGAGCUGUCAGCUCUCUCCUUCUGCCUGGCCCUUGGAGCCUUGGGAUUGACUCCUAUUGCUCUGCAGAGCAGACUGCAUUGGCCACAGUGCAAAGGGUAAAACCAAUGAUUCAAAUGGGGAGAACUGCAGUUACUCGAGCUUCUCCUGCCUUCUAUUUACAUAAACUUCAAGAACAUCUAGUUUAGGAGAAGCAUUCACAUUUGAUUCAACAUGACACACUCCCCAGGAAACUUUCCACAGUGCCCACAUCACUAGAGCCUGGACUUGCUAUGAUCACCAUGGCUCUUGGGCCAACUCUGGGAACAUUCCGAAGAUACAAGCUUGGGCCAGAAGCCUAGAGAGAAAUACCCAGAAGUCCUACGGGUUAUUCCAUCUCAGUACACACUUCUCAGACAAGGGCUUGUAGGAAGGCAGAUACGACGGGAAAGGAGGUCUCAGGAAAGCUCUCCAAGUCCCAUUUCUUAGUCUUAGCUUCCCCUGUUGAAGGUACUGAUGGCCUUGGAAUGGUGGACUGGGACCUGGAUUUUCAUGUAUAGUUUAGUUUCUACAGAGGGUGCUUCCCAAGCUUUGUGAAGGAAAGAAGCUCUGUGGGAAGGAAAAAGAUGGAAGUGGGGAGAGGAAAGGAGAAGCAGUCGGUAGCAAGGUUUGCCUUGUAUAGGUCGUGACUUAUUUAAGUUUUGCUGGACAUGUGUUUUAGGGCCUUGUUUUCACCGUCAACGCACAGAUCUGAGGGCGGCCUAGUGAGCACAUCCCCCUGCCUCCCCCCACCGCAGGAGUGUUUGUGUUGGAGGAGGGAGUGUUAAAUUCCAACCUCAGUACAACUCUUGAAGACUCUGCCAGUUCAGGUAUGGCAAACAACAAAAUGUGUUGUUGCUUUUCUUUUCUCUUUCCUUUCUUGCCAAUCAGAGUGAAUGGAUUCUGAGCUUUCACUGGUGUUUAAAUUAAUUUUUGAUGAAAAAAUAAAGUUGGUGGCGGGGGAGUGGGAGUUAAAAUUACAGCCUGCUCUAUAAAGGCAAAGUAAUUUCUGGAAGGUCAUGAGCUGCCACUGGCAAGCAUGGCCUGGAGUUAGGAACAAUGUACUUGCUGUUUCAGGAGCAAAUCCAGGCUGGAGUAGGCUCUCUCCACAUAACUCUGGAUUGGAUUUAGUUCUGGAUGCAUGCAGGCCUCUCUGGCAGCUGAUGGACAAGCUAGGACUGUAUGAGCAUUGGCCUGUCACUGGCCUAGACUUUAUUCUUUAGUCCUGAGGCCACAGCAUUUCAUGUGGACUUAUGAUUCCAGUGAGAGAGGGAGAGUGGAGAAGAAACUGGCGUGGCCCCUUGGCUCCUUUAUUACCUACGAUAGUGCUUGGCGUGCCAUAGGUGCUCAUCGUGUGCAUGUUGAGUAAAGAACUUACCAAAGCAGCCCUAUUCUCUAAGUCGUUCACUGAGGAGGUGAAAGUAAGAUACAGGGGGUGCUAUUAAAUGAGAGAAACACACAAGGAUCUUCUUAAUUUCUCGCUUCCUAAACCUAAAAAUUAGAUGUGCCAUUGAGCUUUGUGAGAAAGGGGAUGAAAGAAGCAUUACUUGAAGUGAGUCAUCCAUGCUUGAUUGCCUCUACUCUAGGGGCAAGAAACCAGUUGGGUGUUGUGCAUAAGAACAUGGACCCUGCGGCCAGACUGCUUGGAUCAGUGUCCUCCCUCCACCACUUUGUAGCCAUCUGACCUCGGGCAAGUUCCUUCACUUCUCUAUGCCUGGGCUCCUCAUUUAUAAACUGGUGAUAUGAACACAGCCUAUGUUCUAGGAUUGCUGUGACACUUACAUAGAAAUAAGUCAACAUAUAUAUAGCACACAGAACAAUGCCAGGCACACAGCAGUGCUAUUUAUGGUCUUCUUCCUUCCUCCUCCUCCUCCUCCUCCUCCUCUUCCUCCUCCUCUUCUUACUUUAUGCCAUUCUAUCAGAUAAACACUAUUUUAUUUAUUUUAUAAUUUAGGAACUGAUUCUAAACUAUAUUAAGUAAUUUGUUUAAGGUCGAGCAUCUAGUGAGUGCUGGGCACUGUGUUGGAGCUUCAGUCUGUCUGAUUUCAAGGCCUGUGCUCCUGUCAAGGUGAGGUGUUUCACACAUCCCCUUCUUGCCAUCCUGGUGGCAUCCUCUCGACCACCAAAGCUUAUGAAAACAUGCCACUCAGGUUAGCUUCCACCGGACACUGACAGAGGAGCAAUUAUACCUGUGCCAAGGAAAGUUCUCAACGCCAGUAAGGGUUCUGGCUACUGUGGUAUACUUAGAGGAAAUGAAUUUAGGAAGUUUUAAUUAAGAUUUCAAGGAUGAGAAGAGGAAAAUAUGAAGGAGAUGGAAUAAAUAUUCUUCGACUUUGAUUGGGAGGGUCAAAAUGCCCUUUCGCUGUCUCAUGAAGAUUGAAGUUCUAGGAUUCAGGAAUAGAAUUCUUUGCUAUUGAGUAUUAAAAAGCAAUAGAGCUCCAAAUAUAUGCAAUCAAUUCAUCCCAUCUUUAGGGAAACCUAAAUCUAAGCCGCCUAGUAUAGAGAACCACUUGUCCUGUGAGUAAAACCACUUUUGCAAGACUUAACAGAGAAUAGGAGCAGGAAAGAGACCAACAUAAGGCAGUUGCUAGACAACAGAAUUGCUUUACAGUUCUGACUUCACAACCUCGUUUUCCUGACCUGAUAGUUCUGAGAUGAACUUCUCUGGGUGUAUCUAGAAUCUAUUUCUUCUGUGAGGUGGUCACUUGUAAGCCAUGUUUCUUUGUCCAGUAGCGUUUCAGUGCUACCUAAGCAUCUGUACGGCUAUUGUGUCUGACCUGCUGUGGUGAUUGAAACAUAUAGUUGGAACAGGAGGCAGUGUUUUUUUUUUUUUUCUCCAAUAGAUUUCUAAAACCUUUAAAUGAAGUAUUGCAUGUAUACAGAGAAUUACAUAGAUCAUAAGUAUAUAGUCCAAUGAGCUAUCACAAAAUGAAUGUACCUGUGUAAGUGCCACUCAGGUUAAAGAAUAGAGCAUUAUCAGCUCCCAAGAAACCCACUGAAUAUUCCAGUUUAUCAUGCUCUUCCUUCUCUCCAAAGGUUACCACUGUUCUGACUUAUAAUGCCAUCGGUUAGUUUUACUUAUAUUUGUAUUUGAGCCACAUAUAAUUAGAAUCAUACAUUCUGUAUCCUUUCAAUUCUGGCUACUUUCACUUACUGUUACAUUUGAAAGUUUCAGUAGAUUUGCAUGUAAAAGGAGUUCAUGUAUUUUUAUUGCUGAAUAGUUUUCCAUUCUAUAAAUAUACUAUGAGUUAUUUACCCAUUCAACUGUCCAUUUAAUGGUUAUUUAAGUUGUUUAAAAUUUGAGGUUAUUAUGAAUAAUGCUGCCACGAACAUUCUUAUACAUGUCUUUUGUGUAUAUUUCUGUGGGAGUACAUAUCUGCAAGUGGAAUUGCUGAGUCAGAAAGUAUGCAUAUAGUACUUAGCGUUAGAGGAAACUUGCCAAAGAGUUUUCCAAAGUGGAAAUGUGCCAGUUUAUGCUUCCAUCAACAGUAUGUAUGUUCAAAAUCCUUGCUAACAUUUGGUAUUGUCAGGCUUUUAAAUUAUGAUCAUUGCAGUAGGUGUGUAGUGGCAUGCCAUUGUGGCUUUAAUUUUUAUUUUCCUGAAGACUGAUAAAGUUGAGUACCUCUGAAAAUGUUAAUUGGCAAUUUGGCGACCUUUGGUGAAGUGUCUGAACAUGGCAUUGUGUUAUUUGUCUUCUUUAUUGAUUUGUAGUUUUUAUAUAUUCUGGACAUGCGUUAUAUGUGUUGCAAAUAAUUUCUCCAACUAUAUCGAUUGCCUCUUCGGUACUUUAGUGGUAUUUUGGGGUGAACAGAACGUCUUAAAAUUAAAGGACCGCAACAUAUCUUUGCCUUUGUGAUUAGGACAUUUU